CCUACGGGGGGCAGCAGUGGGGAAUAUUGCACAAUGGGCGCAAGCCUGAUGCAGCCAUGCCGCGUGUGUGAAGAAGGCCUUCGGGUUGUAAAGCACUUUCAGCGGGGAGGAAGGCGGUGAGGUUAAUAACCUCAUCGAUUGACGUUACCCGCAGAAGAAGCACCGGCUAACUCCGUGCCAGCAGCCGCGGUAAUACGUAGGGUGCAAGCGUUAAUCGGAAUUACUGGGCGUAAAGCGCACGCAGGCGGUCUGUCAAGUCGGAUGUGAAAUCCCCGGGCUCAACCUGGGAACUGCAUUCGAAACUGGCAGGCUAGAGUCUUGUAGAGGGGGGUAGAAUUCCAGGUGUAGCGGUGAAAUGCGUAGAGAUCUGGAGGAAUACCGGUGGCGAAGGCGGCCCCCUGGACAAAGACUGACGCUCAGGUGCGAAAGCGUGGGGAGCAAACAGGAUUAGAUACCCCUGUAGUC
rnacentral:rRNA from 1 species